rnacentral:hammerhead_ribozyme from 1 species
GUUCAACUGACGAGUCCUAAAUAGGACGAAAAUCACGUCCUGGAC